AAGUCGUAACAAGGUCUCCGUAGGUGAACCUGCGGAGGGAUCAUUAACGAAUUCGAAAGCGGUCCGAUGUGCUGGCUUCGGCACGUGCACUCCGGCCGCAAACCGCUCACCCUUGUGAACAUUCAGACCUUUGCCCGCCCUCGUGGCGUCGAAGGUCCUUUACAAACUCGUAUGUAGUCGAAUGUAACGUGCUUAACGCGCAAACUUACAACUUUCAACGACGGAUCUCUUGGCUCUC
rnacentral:misc_RNA from 1 species